UACGUAGGUGGCAAGCGUUGUCCGGAGUUAUUGGGCGUAAAGCGCGCGCAGGCGGUGCGGUAAGUCUCUGGUGAAAGCGCUCGGCUUAACUGGGCGAGGGCCGGGGAGACUGCCACGCUGGAGGGGAGCAGAGGCGAGUGGAAUUCCGGGUGUAGUGGUGAAAUGCGUAGAGAUCCGGAGGAACACCAGUGGCGAAGGCGGCCCGCUGGGCAGUGGCUGACGCUGAGGCGCGACAGCGUGGGGAGCAAACAGG
rnacentral:rRNA from 1 species